GGGCACCAAGGCCGUCACCAAGUACACCAGCGCCAAGUGAGCCCGCCUGCUGCAGAGCAAUCGAGGCUCACCUUUUCUGACAUCACCGAAUCAGCCUCUUGGGAGGUUUCAAGAGUAAAGCAGAUGUAUGGUAUUAAAAAACAAAACCAAUUAACAAAAAGCACAAGGAUAUUUUUUUCCAGACUUGAAUAAGGAUAAAAAGUUCCUAUCAACUCCUACAGAGUUGAACAUACAUAAGCUGCAGAAGGGAGAUGUCAAUGGUGGGAGCCGCCGGAAAGCUUCCAGGAAUGCCAGAAUGUCCCCAGACAUAGUCUGCGAUGCUGAAACGUCCGUUGCAUCAGCCCUGGGUAAGCCAAUUGGUCCCUGUGCCUCGUGGAAUAGUCCCAAACUCCUUGUCUUCCCAGCAGCUUACCUGUGGACGUGUGAACAAGCAGGGGGCCUUGAUUUGGAGACGAGGUGGACAGCUCUUAAAGGAAAAGGGCCCCUCACCCAGAAGUCCCCCCCAGUUGCUGACACCCCGGCCAGCUCUGGGUCUGCAAAGCCAGUCCGCUGGCUUUGAACUCGGGCAGCAACCAUGAGAUUUACACUCAGCUUUAGCCCAGUGAACAGAAAAGGCACAGCAGGACAUUGAAAUACAAGUGGUGGUCCACCUCUGUGGGAUCCACUGUGACACUGGCUAGCUGUACCUUAGACCUUAAGAACAAAUGGGGACUCAACUCUCCUCAGAUUACGACACAGAGGCCUGGUGAUCCCAAAGAAGGAAUGAACUCCCCACAGGCACCUCCCGGGGAGGCCUUUGCACAGUGAGCUCAUCGCAGAUGCCUCCCGCCUGUGUAUCAGACCUGUCCUCUCUCCGUAAAAUCAGUCCACGAUGUUGAAGAACUGCCCUUUCUGGAACUUCAGUAGUUAGACAUGGAGUGAGAACACGCUCUGGGAAAGACAAAGCCCACUGCACCUCCUUGUCCUGGGACAAGCUAUCCCCAAACCUUAGUUUUCACUUUCUGUUUUCCUGUCCUUUUUUUUCUGAGAUGUUGUACCAGCCUAGAAGGAAAGAAAUGAAAAUAAAUGUGUCUUUGGGGGGCAGGGGGUGAGACGGAAGAAGGGGGCCAGUUAUCACUAAGUGUGUCCUUGGGGAAACAGGCAAUGCAAAAAAACACGGCCAUUGUCCUAAAGGACAUAUAUCCUAAUACAGGAAACUGAAGGAGCUUUAUACACGAUCUAUCUGAUUAAUGCAUCAUGAUCUAGUGUGCUGUAUUCUUUUUCUUUUUUAACAUUUUAUUUAUUUAUUUAUUUGACAGACU